rnacentral:piRNA from 1 species
UGACCACGACUUAGCCCUCCUGU